UGAUCCUGGCUCAGAACGAACGCUGGCGGCAGGCUUAACACAUGCAAGUCGAACGGCCUCUUCGGAGGCAGUGGCAGACGGGUGAGUAACGCGUGGGAAUCAACCUAUCUCUACGGAACAACAGUUGGAAACGACUGCUAAUACCGUAUACGCCCUUAGGGGGAAAGAUUUAUCGGAGAUAGAUGAGCCCGCGUUAGAUUAGCUAGUUGGUGAGGUAAUGGCUCACCAAGGCGACGAUCUAUAGCUGGUCUGAGAGGAUGAUCAGCCACACUGGGACUGAGACACGGCCCAGACUCCUACGGGAGGCAGCAGUGGGGAAUAUUGGACAAUGGGCGCAAGCCUGAUCCAGCCAUGCCGCGUGUGUGAUGAAGGCCCUAGGGUUGUAGAGCACUUUCAACGGUGAAGAUAAUGACGGUAACCGUAGAAGAAGCCCCGGCUAACUUCGUGCCAGCAGCCGCGGUAAUACGAAGGGGGCUAGCGUUGUUCGGAAUUACUGGGCGUAAAGCGUACGUAGGCGGACUAUUAAGUUAGGGGUGAAAUCCCAGGGCUCAACCCUGGAACUGCCUCUAAUACUGGUAGUCUUGAGUUCGAGAGAGGUGAGUGGAAUUCCGAGUGUAGAGGUGAAAUUCGUAGAUAUUCGGAGGAACACCAGUGGCGAAGGCGGCUCACUGGCUCGAUACUGACGCUGAGGUACGAAAGUGUGGGGAGCAAACAGGAUUAGAUACCCUGGUAGU
rnacentral:rRNA from 1 species